UCCUCUCCCCGCCGCCGCGCACGACGGCGUCUCCUCUCCUCCCUCAACUUCGGGCGUUCUUCUUCCAUCCAGCCUAAGUCGAGCCUCGCGAGGGAUUCCGGCGUGGGUGGGGAUCAAUCUGAGGCGAUGCUUUCCAGUGAUUCGGCACAGGAGGGGAUCGACCCAAGGCGACGCGUGCGAGGAUGCGAUGCUCGACAGGAUCCCGCCGGUAGCAGAUGUGCGGCGUCUCCUCUUCCCCGUCACCGUUGCUCCUUGUUGCGGCCACUCAUGCGCGUCGCCGCCAGGUUUAGUUCAAUCUUUUCUGUAUGUGAAAGAGCGUCUGAUGCGGAGCUGUGCGCCACUAGCCUCAAGGGAGAUUUGGUGGAGGCCGAGGCUUGGAACACUGAAGACAUGAGAUUGUGUCAGCUUGGUGCCACUCGGCCACUGCAGGUUAUUGGCAUAGAUUCAGCCGCUCUCCUAUCAGUUUGUCCAUAAAAAAUGAUUGUUGGACUGAAAAUAUUUAUCACUUGCAGUUCUAUAUAAUAUGACAAUCCUGGUAUUCAUUGCUCCCAGUUGCUUGAGGCAAAUAAUUAGAUUAGUACAUUUGAUGGAGUUGUACGAUGUGAAAGAACAAUGUUUGUUUCUAUCAGUUAGAAACUGAAGAAUACAUCUAAACUUACUGCUGUCAAGAAUACAAAUUAGUGAUAGAGAUGAUGCUAUUUAAGGAUUAAGAUGUACGGAUUGAUGAAUCCAUUAGAAUCCAAGAACAUUUCAGCGGCUCCAUUUUUUUAACUAUGUAUAUGUAGUUGGUCGUACAAACAAUUAUUUGUAUCUUGCAAAGUUCCUUUUUGUUAAUGUACUGUGAGAUUCUAAUAUAAUAUACAUUUGUUGUGUCCUUUCCGGCACACAAUAGUGUAGUUUAAGAAAGAGGAUAAAUGUUGCAAAAGAGCUGAUAACUUUCUCAAUUAUGUAGAUUAUUAGGAGAUGUGAAGGAAGUUUGAGUGGGUGAGUUAUAUCCUAUCCAUAAUACCUGGUGUACAAUUACCCUGCAAUUGUCCGUCACCGGCGAGUGGCGCACAUCAGUCGCCAUUAAGGUCCUGUUGCGAUGGUUAUACACCUCCUCGAUUUCCGGCAACUGUUUGCUGCUCAAGGUGACCCUCUACCUUGCAGGCCGAUUACCAUGGUCAGCUGGAUUGACCGGCCCCUGAUUCACCUGCAUCCCAUGUCUCGGCUUGAUUGACUGGAUACCAUCAAGGGCUGGAUUCCUUCGGGUCCCUUUCCUCAGCUGAAUCUCCUCGAGCGCGUCGUCUCCCUCCCGCAUUGGAUCCCCUCGGAUAUUUGAAUGUCAUUCCGGUCUUAAAUUAUGUUCCUGGAGAGAAACGCAGGAAACUGAGGUACUGCUACGCUGCCUGAUCUUCCGUGUCCCCAGCGGAUGUCCUCUCACAUGAUCUUGUGACGGUUGACGUGCAGUACAAGAUAUUGCACCUGACAGGCAGAAUUGAGAGGACUUGAAUGGGGUAAGGACCUCUGCUACAUCUGCUAACACAGCAGCAAGGAUUCGCUUACUCAAUAUUAUCCAUUUCUCCAGCCGUAUAUAACCGUGCAUGUUAGGUUAUAUUGAUGAAUAUUAUUGAAAAAUAUUCUUCAUACAUUACAACAAUGUGAUUUAUUUCUGGUUGCAUAACA